UCUGCCUUAUUGCGCGUUGCUCUUUCUCCCAUUCAUAAAUAAUAUAAGCGCACCGUCUUGGGUUUAUCUUCGUUUAGCUAGUAGGCGUUCAUAGAGUUAAGCUAAACUUUAAUUUCCCACACAUUUGGGCACGCUGAAGUCUGUGUUUUACAGUUAUUCGUCUAUAACUGUUGUAAUUUUCCGUGUUUUCAGAAAAUGACAGUGAAUGGUUGGCUACCUGUUUGAUGGUUCCUCCAAAAAGCAACUAAAAUUUCAACAGUUUGUAUGCCAAUAAAAGGAGAGUGAAACCAUUGUUGAAGUCGCUCAGUCUACGGCAGAACUCCAGCCUCAUCCUUCCACUGAUCCAAGGUAAGGGCAGUAUUAUGGCGGUGCCGUUUUGGUAAACGUUCAACAACAUAAAAUUGUAUAAAUUUUAAUGUUAUUAUAAGAGUUUGUCUGCUCAUUUGUAUAUGUGUUUUUUUUUUUUUUUUUUUUUUUUUUGAAAACGGUGAAAAAAAUACUAGAUAUUGUCUGAUUAUUUCAUAAAAUUAAUCUUAAAUCUAUACAUAUGCAUUUAUUUAUGCAAUAUAUUGAUGCUGUCCAUUGUUCAAGAGCCCAUAAUAAGGAAACACUGAUGUAAUGAUGGGUGUUUUUUUAAUAUGUAGCACUGCCCUACAAUAAAGGCUAUUUAAAUGAGAAUCUGUGUGAGCACCUUGGAGGUGAAUUGUUUAUUUUUAUGCAAUAGGGUCAACCCGCAAUUGGUUACUGAUGUAAUUUUGUAUUGCAGUGUUGAAGCAGCUCACCUGUUGUGACUGUCAUUCCAACCUUUCCCAAAGAUGUCCAGGCAAGCCUUGACAUCAAGGAACCGUGUUACACAGUGCCAAUAGUAUGCAACGAAAUAAGAGCGAUGUAUGAAGUGAUGGCAUAAUACACCCUGUAUCCAACUAAUGCAGAGUUUAUUCAAGUCAAGGCACUGAUUGUGAAAUACCCUUUCCUGAGAGAUAAGGAGGGAAAUGGCUAUCACACCUGGCACACGUUUCUAAAGUGGAAAUUUGAAGCAGAAUGGCACCACUUGUCAGCGUAGCAUAUGAAACUUGUGUUGGGGAGAAUUCAACGUCUGUCCAGGCCCAUGUGAACGUUCUACAAAGUGAGUAUCGGAAGACGCAUCCAGACAUCUCGACUGUCAAAGAACGCAUGGCACGAACAUUCUCCUGGAGACGUCGAGAAAUCAUGAAUGGAAUGUCUGUGGAGGAUGUAGUCAAAAAGUACCCAUACUUAACACCUGAUGGAGUGAGUAUUGAAAACGCCUGAAUGUUACAAGGAAGCAGAGUGAGUUUCACUAGCAAAGUGACUGUUUGGACAGAUCAAGUACGUUCUUAACAUUGAUACCACAUGGAUGCUUUGCAGUAAGAUCUUGUCCUUUGAUUCACAUUUUCAUGCACAUCGUGUUAGAGUAGACAGUGACUGGAUUUUGCUCAAACCUGGAGAUGAGUUGGACCACACAUCGCUUGACACAUAUACAGUUGAUAAACUGUAUGUUGGAUUGAGAUUUUAUAUAAAUGCUUGCAGGUUUUUGGCAAGGUCAUAUGAAC